AAAUAGUAGCUCAAGAGCUUCCGAUCACUAAUGUAGUCAAACAGCACGGUCAUGAUCUCUCGGGAGCUCAACCGAACGGUCUUGAUGUCUCGAGUGCACCAACUAACGGUGGGUCUGCAAAUACCUAAAUCAGCCCCGAAGAGAAAAAAAGAAGAUACAAAGACAAAGAUGUGAUUGAAAUUUUGAUAUCUUUCUAUGUUGUUCUGUGUUUUAAUACUUUUUAAAUUUUCUAAAUCGUCCUACCCUUAACUUUAGUAUCUUUACAUAUUUUUAUGUUUUCUCUGCUUUUACUUCUUGUAUUUUGAAAUUUCAAGGAAAAUAAUGAAUGAAUCAUUUGGUAAAAUUUGCGCUUAAAACAAAAACAAUUGUCAAAAUGUUACCCAAAAAACAAUUGUCAAAUCCUAUAGAAUCCAAGAAUCUAGUGUCAAAAUUUGGAUAUUUCUUUUACUAAAAGGUUUUCGUAUUUAAAUAUUUUUGAUUUUUUUUGUAUAUAUGAAAAUAAUUUUAUUUUUUUUUAAAACAAUAUAAAAGCUCAUAAGCCUCUAAUGGGCUCAAAAAAAGCAGAUCUAAACUGGAAAACCCACAAAAAGGUCCAAAUCAAUUAACCUCCAAACCCUUAGCUUCCACUUGAAACAUAUUUGCCGUUGGAAACACGCACUCGCCAAAAAGUUAGGACCGCCAAGGCCACCUGAAAGUAAAAAGAAGACGGAGCACUAGAAAGGACCAGUACAAGCCCACACCUGCAAACGCCCUUAACUUUAGUAUCUUUACAUAUUUUUAUGUUUUCUCUGCUUUUACUUCUUGUAUUUUGAAAUUUCAAGGAAAAUAAUGAAUGAAUCAUUUGGCAAAAUUUGCGCCUAAAACAAAAACAAUUGUCAAAAUGUUACCCAAAAAACAAUUGUCAAAUCCUAUAGAAUCCAAGAAUCUAGUGUCAAAAUUUGGAUAUUUCUUUUACUAAAAGGUUUUCGUAUUUAAAUAUUUUUGAUUUUUUUUAGGAGCUAUGGUAAUGACUUUGUACAAAGGUCCGGCGAUCGAAAUCGUGAAAGCUGCACAUUCUUCCUUCCACGGCGGCUCAACCACAGCCACUGGCCAGCACUGGGUCACCGGAACCUUAGCCAUCAUGGGAAGUAUCUCCACAUGGGCUGCUUUCUUCAUUUUACAGGUAUAACUAGUUAAUUUUUAUUUUUUAGCAAAAAAAAAACUAGUUAAUUAAUGUUUAAAUAAAAAAGAAAUCAACAAACAUGCAUUAUACGGUUUUAUAAAUUAUCAAAAUAAUUUUCUGUUUUCAGUCGUUCACGUUGAAACUUUACCCGGCUGAGCUAUCCCUAGUGACGUUGAUAUGUGGGAUCGGAACGAUCCUAAAUUUUGCCGUUUCGAUGAUAUUUGUCCGUGACUUAAGCGCCUGGAAAAUCGGCAUGGAUUCCGGGACACUCGCAGCCGUUUACUCCGUAAGUUAAUCAUCUAUUAGUCACUGGUUAAUUUUAAUCAAUUCUGUAUAAUAAACCUUAUUAUUUGAUUAAAAAAUACUUAUUAUUAUGUGGGAUAUUUCAGGGAGUGGUUUGUUCAGGCAUCGCGUAUUACAUACAAAGCAUUGUGAUAAAGCAACGUGGCCCUGUGUUUACCACGUCGUUUAGUCCUAUGUGUAUGGUUAUUACUUCAUUCCUCGGUGCCCUUGUUUUGGCUGAGAAAAUCCACCUCGGAAGGUAAUUAAGAUUUCUUUCUAUUAUGUUAAUAACUAAGAUAAGUAUAAUUAACAAGUAAUUAACGUUUUAGAGGGUACUGUUGUGACUAUGCAGUAUAAUUGGAGCAGUUUUCAUCGUCAUUGGACUAUAUAGUGUGGUCUGGGGAAAAAGCAAAGAUGCAGUGAAUCCCUUGGAUGAGAAAAUAGUAGCUCAAGAGCUUCCGAUCACUAAUGUAGUCAAACAGCACGGUCAUGAUCUCUCGGGAGCUCAACCGAACGGUCUUGAUGUCUCGAGUGCACCAACUAACGGUGGGUCUGCAAAUACCUAAAUCAGCCCCGAAGAGAAAAAAAGAAGAUACAAAGACAAAGAUGUGAUUGAAAUUUUGAUAUCUUUCUAUGUUGUUCUGUGUUUUAAUACUUUUUAAAUUUUCUAAAUCGUCCUACCCUUAACUUUAGUAUCUUUACAUAUUUUUAUGUUUUCUCUGCUUUUACUUCUUGUAUUUUGAAAUUUCAAGGAAAAUAAUGAAUGAAUCAUUUGGUAAAAUUUGCGCCUAAAACAAAAACAAUUGUCAAAAUGUUACCCAAAAAACAAUUGUCAAAUCCUAUAGAAUCCAAGAAUCUAGUGUCAAAAUUUGGAUAUUUCUUUUACUAAAAGGUUUUCGUAUUUAAAUAUUUUUGAUUUUUUUGUAUAUAUGAAAAUAAUUUUAUUUUUUUUUAAAACAAUAUAAAAGCUCAUAAGCCUCUAAUGGGCUCAAAAAAAACAGAUCUAAACUGGAAAACCCACAAAAAGGUCCAAAUCAAUUAACCUCCAAACCCUUAGCUUCCACUUGAAACAUAUUUGCCGUCGGAAACACGCACUCGCCAAAAAGCUAGGACCGCCAAGGCCACCUGAAAGUGAAAAGAAGACGGAGCACUAGAAAGGACCAGUACAAGCCCACACCUGCAAACCCUCUUAACUUUAGUAUCUUUACAUAUUUUUAUGUUUUCUCUGCUUUUACUUCUUGUAUUUUGAAAUUUCAAGGAAAAUAAUGAAUGAAUCAUUUGGUAAAAUUUGCGCCUAAAACAAAAACAAUUGUCAAAAUGUUACCCAAAAAACAAUUGUCAAAUCCUAUAGAAUCCAAGAAUCUAGUGUCAAAAUUUGGAUAUUUCUUUUACUAAAAGGUUUUCGUAUUUAAAUAUUUUUGAUUUUUUUUGUAUAUAUGAAAAUAAUCAUUUGAUUUUUUUUAUUUUGUAUAUAUGAAAAGGUCCAAAUCAAUUAACCUCCAAACCCUUAGCUUCCACUUGAAACAUAUUUGCCGUCGGAAACACGCACUCGCCAAAAAGCUAGGACCGCCAAGGCCACCUGAAAGUGAAAAAGAAGACGGAGCACUAGAAAGGACCAGUACAAGCCCACAAAAACUGGCUUGUUUGUGGCUUUCUGGUCAUGAAAUGUCAUAAACAAAAUAUGGCCAUAAUAUUUGCCACGAUUUGACAAAAAUAUCUCUUGUACUUUGGAAAAAGUAAUAGCAAAAAUUUAGACAGAAAAAUUGCUCAAACUAUCCUCUUUGCUAUGCAAUUUCUGUUUUUCUGUUUGAUUCAAAGUUGUUAUCUUUAGCUUUUAUAUUGUCUCAGAGUGAUCAGAUCCAUUAAAAUCAUUCCUACAAUACAAUGUUUUUAUUUUUUGUUGUAUCUAUAUUUCUCUCAAAAUUUUAACGGUGAAAAAUUAAAUUUUUAAGAAAAUCACUUCAACGGUUUGUCUCAAGAAGGUAGCCAUAUCUUGUGAUCAAAAACUACAAAAUAGCUCCGAAAAUAUGUGGGUCGUGGGAGCACAUAAAAGGUCCUCAAGAUCUCAGAAGAAAAGCAAUAUCUGAUGAAAGAGAAGUAAAGUCUCCCAUUGGUUCCAAAACUUCUCAAUAAGACUUCAAACGGAUCGAGGACCAGCUGGUUCUAUGUUCUGCAGAGUUCAUUGGAGCAUUAUAUCAUUGCAACUUACUCAUAUGUUGAAAUUGCAAAGGAGCUAUGGGACACACUGUUGAGUGUGUAUGUGAACACACCUCUAAUUUGAGCAGAAUUUUUGAUGUGAAGAAGGCUUUCAAUGACUCCAAGAAGAAUCAAUUAAGAACUUUUUGGGAGACAAAAAUCUGUUGCUUGAGCUAGAUAUGUUCAGACCUCCUACAACUUAUGUGCAUGAGAUAAUGGAAACGUGGGAGCUGAACCAUGUAUUUGGACUCCUCCUCACUAUUAAUAGAUCAUUCAAAGGAAUGAUUCAAUAAAACUAUAAGGUUUGAGAAACUGCAAAACUUAAAUGAAUUAUGCAUAAUGAUCCAAUAAGAAAAGGGAUCAAUGGAAUUCUUUCAAUGAAAAAAUGAAAUAGCUUAUGUAAUCCAUGAGUUUCCUUAGCUAUAACAAAGGAGAAGUGCAUGGUUGUGUGGCCACUACAAGGAGAAGAGACACUAUGUACAGUUGUUGGAUUCUCCAUCCACAUUAAAGUAAAGGAACAUAAAGUAAUGGCUCAUACCUAUAGAAGAGCAGAUAGAUAUACUGUGAGUCUCCCCACAACUCUUAAUGAUAAGGUCAUGAGAAGAUUUGACUUUGAGGCUCUAAUCAAGAAAAUAGUCAAACUUGGUGAAUAUGGAAAGAGUUUUAAAAUCUCUAAGACUCAAAAGCAGGUUAUAGUAGACUCUAGCGCCUCAUAUCACAUGAUUAGUGAUACGAAGUUGUUCGCAAAUGUUAAAACAUAAAUUGGGAAAUUUUAUAAUAGCAAAUGGACAUAUGUGUUGAUUAGAGGAAUUUUAUAUUUAGAAAUGUUUAAGAAGAACACCAUAGUUUUAUUUAUGCUAGAUUUCACUUCUAAUCUACUAUAUGAUAACAAAGCGACCAAGGGCCUUGAUUCUUGACUAUUGUUAGUCCAAUGAUUUGGGGUUUUAGGAUAAUAACGUAUGGAAUACCAUUGGGAAAGGUUGCUCCAAAGGUGGUCUCUAUAUUUUGGAGUUUUUAGAAAAAAAAUAAACUUGUAGUAGAUGUUGUUGCUAAUCACUGCACUAAACUCAUGCAUUCUCACAUAAAGCUCUCUAACACAUCAUCAAAAUUUUGAAGAAUGUAUUCUCAGGAAACAUUGUUUGAUGAUUGCUUUGAUAUGGUUCACUUUGAUGUAUGGACAACACCUUAUGUACUCCUAAUCAAUUAAAUAUUGUGUUUUCUUAAUUGAUAAGAAGUCCAAAUACACAUCGCUUAGUCUCAUGCCACUAAAGAGUCAAGCCAUUGAGGCAUUUUCCAAGUUUAUAAGUAUGUUCUCACUCAGUUUGGGUUAAUAUUAAGUUCUUUAUGAGUGAUAAUAGAGGAGAGUACAUGUGAAAUGCAUUUAAUGAUUUGUUGGGGAAGCACGGGAUUGUACAUCAAACAUCUUGUGCAUCUACAAUAGACAUAUGAUAGAGGUUUCUAGAAUAAUGAUGUUUGGUUAAAGUGUUCCAAAGCAAAAUUGGUAAGAUGCGAUGAUGACUUCCUGUUAUCUCAUCAAAAUUUUAACAACCAUUGACCUUAGAAUGUGUUUUCAUAUGAAGUAUAGAACACAGUAAAACCAAAAUUUGAUAAUCUUAGAGUUUGUGGUUGAGUUUGCUAUGUUUUUUCAUCAAAAUCACACAUAAAAAAUUUAAAACCUAAGAGUACAAAGUGUAUGUUCAUUUUAUCAGUUAAGAAAGGGUACAAAUGUUAUAAUCCAUACUUCAAAGAAUCUUCUGCCGUAAGUUCAAGUUUGAUAAAGGCGAGUCGUGGUUAUUUAGUGACACAUUGAACAAUUUGACAUCCUCUAUUAACAGAUCCUCCGAUCUAUUACUUAUUUAUAUGGGUUAAGUACAUUGGUGGGUUCGGAAUAUCAACUCAUUGUGUGUGAAGAAACAUAUCAAUAGGCUUUAGCCAAUGAUUAUAGGCAUAUUAAAUCUCAAAAAGAGAGAGACAACAUUGAUGACAAAUUUGCAAAGAAAUGAGUGUUAUGUAAAAGUUCAUUGGAGAAUGUUGUAGUGGAAGAUUAAGAGGAGACUGAGUCUGAUGAAGAAUCUCCAACUUUUCUAGGUAGAAGUACAUGAUGAUCAUGUUUAAUGACAAUCAAGUUGUUGCUCAUCUUAUUCAGAGACAUUGCAGCUGGUCUUUCUAUUCAGACAUUAACAUUUGAUCUUCCUAUUCUGAGUCAUUGCACAAUUUUUCAUAUUCCACAAGAGCACCAAUACAUGAUACCCACAAGCUAUUAAUAGGGUUGUUUAUUUUAAGUGUGGGUUCAAGCUAUGGCGUACAAAAUUACUUCCAUGAGCAAUCUAUACUAUCAAGUAUACAAGCUCAGGAGAGAUAGAAAAGUACAAGGCGUGAUUAGCGACCAGCUAAUACAAUAAGAAUUAUGUAGUAGAUAACACAACAACAUUUUCCCAAUAGUAAAAUUUCACUCAGUACGGAUUUUUCUCUCCAUUGCCACCAAUUUAUCUUGGGAUAUUUGGCAAAUAGAUGUCAAAAAUAUUUUUCUUCAAGAAGACAUGAAAUAACAAAUUUCUAUAGUUCAUUAUGAGGGCUUUCAUGAGAUUUCCAAUAGCAUCAAGGUUUUGUAAAUUUAACAAAGCAAUCUAUGGUUCCAAGUAAUCUCCAAGAGAUUGGUACCAUAGGCUAAGUAGUUAUCUUAUUGAAAAUGGUUUUUGCAUAUUAGAAAAAGUUGACAACACAUUAUUCACCAUCCAUGGAAACUGGGAUUGUCGUUAUGCUCACAUAUAUGUGGAUAAUAAUAUCAUCAAUGGUGAUGAUGUUAAUGAAGUUAAGAAAAUUAAGAAUUUUCAAAUCUAGAAUAAUGAUGUUUGGUUAAAGUGUUCCAAAGCAAAAUUGGUAAGAUGCGAUGAUGACUUCCUGUUAUCUCAUCAAAAUUUUAACAACCAUUGACCUUAGAAUGUGUUUUCAUAUGAAGUAUAGAACACAGUAAAACCAAAAUUUGAUAAUCUUAGAGUUUGUGGUUGAGUUUGCUAUGUUUUUUCAUCAAAAUCACACAUAAAAAAUUUAAAACCUAAGAGUACAAAGUGUAUGUUCAUUUUAUCAGUUAAGAAAGGGUACAAAUGUUAUAAUCCAUACUUCAAAGAAUCUUCUGCCGUAAGUUCAAGUUUGAUAAAGGCGAGUCGUGGUUAUUUAGUGACACAUUGAACAAUUUGACAUCCUCUAUUAACAGAUCCUCCGAUCUAUUACUUAUUUAUAUGGGUUAAGUACAUUGGUGGGUUCGGAAUAUCAACUCAUUGUGUGUGAAGAAACAUAUCAAUAGGCUUUAGCCAAUGAUUAUAGGCAUAUUAAAUCUCAAAAAGAGAGAGACAACAUUGAUGACAAAUUUGCAAAGAAAUGAGUGUUAUGUAAAAGUUCAUUGGAGAAUGUUGUAGUGGAAGAUUAAGAGGAGACUGAGUCUGAUGAAGAAUCUCCAACUUUUCUAGGUAGAAGUACAUGAUGAUCAUGUUUAAUGACAAUCAAGUUGUUGCUCAUCUUAUUCAGAGACAUUGCAGCUGGUCUUUCUAUUCAGACAUUAACAUUUGAUCUUCCUAUUCUGAGUCAUUGCACAAUUUUUCAUAUUCCACAAGAGCACCAAUACAUGAUACCCACAAGCUAUUAAUAGGGUUGUUUAUUUUAAGUGUGGGUUCAAGCUAUGGCGUACAAAAUUACUUCCAUGAGCAAUCUAUACUAUCAAGUAUACAAGCUCAGGAGAGAUAGAAAAGUACAAGGCGUGAUUAGCGACCAGCUAAUACAAUAAGAAUUAUGUAGUAGAUAACACAACAACAUUUUCCCAAUAGUAAAAUUUCACUCAGUACGGAUUUUUCUCUCCAUUGCCACCAAUUUAUCUUGGGAUAUUUGGCAAAUAGAUGUCAAAAAUAUUUUUCUUCAAGAAGACAUGAAAUAACAAAUUUCUAUAGUUCAUUAUGAGGGCUUUCAUGAGAUUUCCAAUAGCAUCAAGGUUUUGUAAAUUUAACAAAGCAAUCUAUGGUUCCAAGUAAUCUCCAAGAGAUUGGUACCAUAGGCUAAGUAGUUAUCUUAUUGAAAAUGGUUUUUGCAUAUUAGAAAAAGUUGACAACACAUUAUUCACCAUCCAUGGAAACUGGGAUUGUCGUUAUGCUCACAUAUAUGUGGAUAAUAAUAUCAUCAAUGGUGAUGAUGUUAAUGAAGUUAAGAAAAUUAAGAAUUUUCAAAGCCUCAUCUGAGAUAAAUGACCUAAAAGACAUAAAGUACUUUCUUUUGAUUGAAAUAUGUAAAUUUAAUGACUGGUUAAAGAAAGUAUACCCUUGUUAUCAGAUUCAUGGAAGAAUGGACAAAUCCUGCAAAACUCCUAUUGAAGAUAGCUACAAGGCCUUACCUAAGAGGGAUCCGCUUAUGGAAGUUAAGUAGUAUUAAAGAUUUGUUGGGAAGUUGAUCUACUUGACUAUCACGAGACUAGACAUAUCUUUUUUUAUGAAUCAAGUAAGCUAACACAUGCAAGUUCAAACUAAACACCAUUGUCAUAUGGUUGAGAGACUCUCGAGAUACUUGAAAGGCACACAAGGUAAACACAUUUGGGUGGGUUAAAAUAAUAGUUAUACCACAAUAGUUAUACCAAGUUUUACAGUUUUAACAAGUUUUAAAGUUUACCACUAUAGUUUUACCAAGUUCUACUAACCUAAUUACACUAAAUUUUACAUUUUUACUGUUCAACUAAUACUAAGUUAUAUUAGUUGUACCAAUGUAGUUUUACCAAGCUAUACAAAGUUAUACCAUUAGUGAUGGGUAUGAGUUGAAUAUACUAGAUGAUAACCCGCACAAAUGCUCAGAGUGAGUUUUUUAUACAAAUGUUUGUUCAUUAAAUGGUUUUAACAUUUUGCAACACUACAAUCUUUAUCGAUUGUAAAAUGACGAAUAAAAAUGUUGGUCUAUUAAAUAUAUCAUCGUUUUUGAAGAGUUAACAUGGUACAACUCAUUUUAAUUAUUUCUAAGACUUCAUAUGCACAAAAAGAAAUUAAGUUUUGCGGCUGAAACAAAUCACCAAAACCAGAUAGGCAACAUCGAUUGUAAAAUGACGAAAGGGAUUAGGUUUUCUUCUCUCGAUUUAUUUACUAUUGACUCUACAUAAGUGAUUUCAUUUUUUACAUCUAUAAAAUUGUGCUUUUGUUCUCGUUUCUUUUUCACUUGUAUGAGUUUUGUUUCUUUUUUUUAACUUUUUUGUGAAUUCGGUAAAUUACAUAAGUGUCAAAUUAAUAAGAUGGGCAUCUGUAAAAAUUAUUUCCACUCCAAAUACAUAUAUAAAAAUCAAAAUUUUGAAGAAAAUCACUAUUCACAGAUUAGUUUUCAUAUCUAAUAUGUCAAACUGUUAUAGAAUAUAAGUGCAUACUCAAAAUAUAAAUGUAUGUCUAGUAUAUGUUCACCAGUCGGUCUAAAAAUCAUCUUCUAGAACGACAAAACAAAUUACUUAUUUUAUUAACCUACGAUUUUAAUGUUUAGUUACUUAAGACUUAUACCGAUAAAAUAUAUAUAUAUAUAUAUAUAAUAUUAUUUUACCAUUGUAGUAUAUGUAAAAUAUGUAUAAAAUAAGAACUGUUUGAUUUAUUAUAUGAAAAACCAAAAAAACUUAUAAUAAAUUGUUUAAAUCUACCGUUUUUACAAUUAUAAUAGGUAGAUAUGGUAUUAUGGAAAAAAAUAUUAGACAAUUGAUCAAAUCUCUCAUUCGAACAAAAUCAAAAUGAGGUGAUUGGAAUCUUGUCAUGAUAUUUCAUUAAAAGCUUUUCAGGAAUAAUAAUCAAGACUAAAUUAUUUAAUCUGAAUGAAAUAAUAUAUAUAUAUAUAUAUAUAUAUAUAUAAUGCUUCCAAUAUUAAAAAUCACUUUGAUUUAAAGAAGUGUAUUUCUAGGAUUGUCAAGAUCUAAUAACAUAUUAGAAACCACCUAUUUAAAAAAUAAUUUGUAUACAUAAAAGUAUAUACAUUAGAGUAAGCAAAUAAAUAAAAAAAAAUAUCUUUUUUUAUUUACAAUCAUGUUUUUGGUAAAAUAAAUCCAAACAAUCAUUUUUAUUUACUUUAUCUGGUAUAUAAUUAAAAUUUAGUGAUAUUGAAAUAGACAUAUAUAUAUAGUAUAUUUUAAUAUAAAUAUUUAUUAUUGACGCUUCCUAGUCAUAUGAUUUUAUUAACAUUUCUAUAUAUGCUGUUGAAAAAAUUUAAAUUGUUACUCAAAAAAAUUUUAAUGUGAGAUUUUUCAAUACAAAUUUCAAAAUUAAAAUACUAAGAUCUCAAUAAUUUUUUCAAUGCAAAUUUUAAAACUAACAUUUUUAAAUAUUGUUAUAUAGUAUAUAAUUUAAUAUAUAUAUAAAUAUCUACUAAUGAGAUUUCAUAUUCAUACGAUCUACGAUCAUUUGUAUCUUGCUUGAAAAAGAAAAAAGUUCAACAAUUUAUCACAAAAUUUUCAGUGUGGGAUUUUUACCAUUUUUAGUAAUUUAUAGUAUUUUUAAUAAAAUAUCAUGACAAAAUUCCAUAUUCUCAGUUUCAUGUUUAUUUUAAUAUAAUAUCUAUAUUUUUGUUUGUUUUCAUAUGACAUCUAAAAGUAUACUUGAACCAAAUUUACCCAAACACGAAAAGUAUAGUUACAAAACAAGUUUUGAAAUGUAUUAGAAUCUAAACUGUUACUAACCGAACUCGAUCGGAACUAAAGUAAUAUCCGACUGAACCUAAAAAUCACGACCCAAACCAAAUGGUACCCCCACGCGCAAGCCUAAUUUAAGCUAUACACGAAAUGCAAACAAGUGAAGAUUUUUACCUUGCAGCAAACUCAAUGCAUGUUUUUGAAAACUAGAAUAUCAUAUUAAUCAUAAGCAACUUCAUUGACUAAACAUACGGCAUUCACAGAAAAUCGAAAGCAUUGUUUUUAACAUUUCAACCAAAAAAAAAUCUAUAGCAUUGUUAUUUAAAUAGUUUCUUCCUGAAGAGUCUAGUACAUAUGAUAAUAAAUUAAUAAUAUAAAUUGUGUAUAACUAAAGGUUCGAAUGGUAACAUACAGAAAAACUAUGAAACAAUUACGGUACAUUUUUAAUAGCAACAAAAUAUAUAAAUACAUAGAUAUAUGUAGAGAUUUUUGGUUACAAUUAACUGUUGUGCGCUGCAGUGCGGUUUGUAAACAUUCAAAAUCUAUCAAAGGAAUAAUAGUUUAAAAGUACUUAAGUUUUUUUUUUUUUUUUUUUUUUUUUUGACAGCAAACAUUUACAGACUCAUGUAGACUCUGUAAACCAAGGUGGUAAAUCUGCAUCCAUGUGCACGACGAAAGACGAUUGUUGCCGAGCACUACGUGCCAAGCUAUCCGCCCUUUUGUUCUCCGUCCUAGGAACAUGAACGAUUUCUGAGCUGACAAAACUUUGUCGCAGAAGCUUGAUAUCUUCCAGGUAGCUUUCAAAUGCUGGCCAUUCCUCUGGUUCCGAAACCAUCUUCACCAGUUGAGAACAAUCCGUUGCAAACGUAACCUGAAACUGCCUUAAAUUUCGCAUACAUUCCAUUGCCCAAAUUAAUGCCUCCAUCUCCGAAUGAAGAGGUGAGAGGGAUGCCCUUACAUUUCGUGCCCCCUAAAAGUACUUAAGUUACUAUGAUAAUAUUUGAUAAGAAAUGUUUUCCCUUCUUUUUUCCUUUUUCAAUUUUCAACUUUCUAAUUAUAUAAAUACUUAGCAAUAUAUUAAACACAAAGAAAAAUAUGUAUUUUAAUAUGACUUAUUCUUAGGUCCACCCCUUAGGGUGAACCUCUAGGUUCACCAACCAAUAGGAUUCUUUUAUUUUAUAUUCGAUAUCUUUUAAAAAAGGAAACAAAAUAUUGUCAAAUUAUAUUAUGUUUUUAAAAUUAAAAAGUAAAAAAAAAUAGUAAUAAUUACAAAAAAAAAUAUUUUACGUCGUCAGCAUAACAUUAAACCCUAAACCCUAAAUUCUAAUCCCUAAACCCUUAAUCCUAAACCCUAAACCCUUGGAUAAACCCUAAACUCUAGGAUAAAUCCAAAACUCUAAAUCAAAAUUACUAUACACUAAAACAUUCAAACGUUUAGGGUUUUAGUGUUUUUUAUUUAGAGUUUAGGAUUUAUCCAAGGGUUUAGGGUUUACCAAAUGGUUUAGGGUUUACCCAAGGGUUUAGGAUUUAUCCAAGGGUUUAGGAUUUACCCAAGGGUUUAGGGUUUAUCCAAGGGUUUAGGGUUUAGGAUUUAGGGUUUAGGGAUUAGGAUUUAGGGUUUAGUAUUUUGUUGAGAACAUCAAAAAUAUUUUUUUUUUUAAUUCUUUUUUCUGUAACUAUUAUCUUUUUUUAUUUUAAAAACAUAAUAUAAUUUGAUAAUAUUUGGUUUCCUUUUUUAAAAGAUAUCGAAUUUGAAAUAAUGAAAUCCUAUUGGUUGGUGAACCUAGAGGUUCACCUUAGGGAGUGAACCCAAAAACGAUUCUUUUAAUAUUUCAAGAAUACAAAUUCUGUAUUAAAUAAAAAACUUUACACAUAUGUAUUUGGAAAAGGCCAAAAAAAAAUAAUUAUCGAGAAAUACAAACAUUGCAUAAGUGACAAUGAUGAGUUAGAUUCCGAGCAUCACGGGUUGCAAAGAAGGCUGACACAUUAGAAUACAACACCAUUACAUGACCUUUAAUUCGUUUCUAUUCUUACACUUCGGACUUACAGCCAAACCUUGUAAAAUAUAGGAUAAUAUACGUACAAGAACAUCAAUAUGUAUAACCCAACCCGUGACCUUUUUUUCUUUUCAUUUCUUUUGGAAAUGGUGACGAUUUAACGUCUCUGCUGACGUGGCAAGGAGAUUAUUUUGGUGAUUAGGGUUUUGAAGAUUUUGCCGCACGGUAAGGUUGUGGGGCCGAUUACGGCGCCGGAGAAUAUGGCCCCUCCAGGGCAGGAGAAGGAGAAUAGCAAGGUGGUGAUCGGAAAGGAUGUAAAGAAAACGUCGUGGGUUCAGGUUGGUCAGAACGAUGCUGGGCUCUCUGCUCAUAUUGUUGCUGUUAACACAGUUGAUGGAAAGGAAAUGGUUGAGGUUCCGGAUGCGGUAAUCCAACGAUCAGUUCAAUUAUGGGAUGACCUAAUUGAAGGAAGGUUUUUGUGACUGUUCCACACGUUGCAAAGAUUCACGCUCUUGUGAACAAGAUCUGGCCGCUUGGUGACAAAAUGAUUCUUAUUGACGUAUUCGUCAUAGACGUGAUGACUGUGAAGUUCCGUAUUAAAGAUGCAAAUACUAGGAGUCAAAUCCUUCGUAGGGGGAUGUGGUAUAUUUCCAAUAUCCCUAUGGUUGUCUCUAAGUGGGCACCAGAAGAGGAGGAAGAGGAAGAGGAGCAAGAAAUAAAACUCAUCCCGAUGUGGGUAGUGAUGAAGAAUGUUCCAAAACAGAUGUUCUCGUGGGAGGGUUUAGGGUUUAUCGCAAGUGCUGUGGGCCAUCAAAAACACCUCCAUCCAGAUACACUGUUAUGUAAGAGUUUCGUUGAAGCAAAAGUAUUUGUCGAGGCUGAUAUGACAAAAGAACUGCCUACAUCUCAUCACUUUAAGUCAAAGCUGGGAGUGGAUUUUGAUGUACAAUUCAAGUACCCAUGGCUACCAAACAAAUGCAAUCUUUGCUUGAAAUGGGGACAUGAGGAAAACGCUUGUGGAAAGAAGAAGAAAAAAGGAAAGGCCAACCAGCAGGAUCAAGUUAAUAAUACUGCUCCAGGCAACAGUACAACUAGCAUUGUAGAAAAGGAAGUUGAGACCAGCGUAGAGAGUGCUGUGGAAGCUGUUGACACGGUUGUUGAUAAGAACUCAGCUAGUGUCGAGGCAAAUGAGAAUGAGACUGAUGCAUUGGGAAACAUUGCAGAGAUGGGAGUUGAGGAACCAAGUCUUGCGAAGGACGGGUUGGUAAGGCUUGAUAAAAACGUCUUAGUCGAACUGACGGAGGGAACUGACUUAGCAAGCUCAGUAACAGAGACUACUACGGACCUCCCAGCACCUGUCACCGAAGAGUUAAGCUGGUUAAAUGUGUCUCCAUCCAAAAGGGGCUGGUCACCGGUAAAGCCGGUUGAAAACAACGUCAUCUCUCCAUCCCAUUUUGCUGUUCUGAAUGAAGAGUCCGAGGAUAAAGAGGAGGACAUAAAUUAUUCUCAGGAAAAAGGUGAGACACCUGGAAAAGCAGAGGCAGAGACAGGCACUAUCUCUCAGAAAGAUGAUGGCGAGAGUGAGGAGGGGGAGAUCAUAGAGAACUAAUCCAUCCAUGCUACCUUGCGUACAGAUACUUGCGAAGAUGAUCAAGCCAAUGAAGGGCUGAGUACUCGACGCACCUCUGUAAGAUCAUCUAAGGGAAUCAAUAAGAAUUCAGCUGAAUCUUUCGCUCAAAGCACCAAGGAACCUUUUCCUAGCGCUGCGAGUAAAAGACGUUACCAUAAGAAGAAAUAAUUAUGUCGGGUUUCUUCUGGAAUGUUAGAGGUUUUAACAAAACAAAAAAAGCAUUCCGUAGUGAAGAAAUAGGUUAUGGAGAAGGAAUUUAGUUUUGGAGCUUUGCUGGAAACUAGAGUCAAGUAAGGAAAAAGUCAGAGUAUUGCAUCAAAGGUCUUCUCGGACUGGUCGAUGUUAACAAAUUAUGAGUACAACACGCUGGGUAGGAUUUGGUUGGUGUGGCGACCUGACACGCGAUUUACUCCACUUUUUAAGAGUGAUUAACUGAUCACAGUUUCAGUGCAACUAGACAUGUGGGGAGAUGAUUUCUUUCUCUCUAUCGUCUAUGCAUACAACACAAGUUCUGAGCGUACAUAGUUAUGGAGAGAUCUGAAAGCACACCAGGAUUCUCCAAUAGUUCGCAACAAAUCAUGGCUUAUAGCUGGUGAUUUUAAUGAGACCCUGCUAUGGAGGAACAUUCCUCUUAUCAGGAUUCCCCAAUGGUAACUCAGGGAAUGAAAGAUUUCCAAGAGGUUGCCCAAUACUGCUCCUUGAUGGACCUAGCCUCGCAUGGUCCGCUGUUUACAUGGAGCAAUAAACAAGAUGAGGGUCUGAUAUCAAAGAAGUUAGACCGAGUCUUGUUCAAUGACCACUGGCUUAGUAUGUUUCGUCAUUCAUACAUUGUCUUUGAGGGAGUUGGAUGUUCUGACCACUCGAGGUGCAGAAUCCAGCUGCACUCUGUAGUACCUCGGCCUAACCGGCCUUUCAAGUUUGUGAAUGCCACAACGAGCUAAGAGGGAUUUAAGCCGGCAGUGGAUCAGUACUGGAGAGACUCGGAACCAAUACAUCUCUCGACUUUAUCACUGUUUUGUUUCUCAAAGAAACUGAAAGGCUUAAAGCCGAUUAUUCGACAAGUAGCUAAAGAUGGAUUAGGUAACUUAACGUUGAAAUCCAAAGAAGCUCUUGCCGUUCUCUGUGACAAACAGAAUUUGAAUCUGGCAAAUCCAACUCCUCAGAACAUGGAAGAAGAAAACAAAGCUUAUAAGAGAUGGGAUUUUGUUUCUGACUUGGAGGAAGAUUUUUUGAAGCAGAAAUCAAAAAUGCAUUGGUUGAAGAAGGGUGAUAAAAAAAACAAAUCAUUUCAUAGGGCAGCCACAAUCCGUGACAUCAGAAACUCUAUCAAAGAGAUUCAGUGUGCUGAUGGUAGUAUCCUAUCAAAUGCAGCAGAUAUCAAGAAUGAAGCAGAACAGUUUUUUCGUGAAUUUUUGCAGCAUAAACCGCAAGAUUACUUUGGAAUUACAGUGGAGGGUCUGAGAGAGUUACUGCCUUAUCGUUGUAGUGAUGCAGAGCAGACUCAACUGAUAAGAGAAGUGACAGCAGAGGAGAUCACAAAUGUCUUAUUCGCAAUGCCAAAUGAGAAAUCUCCGGGUCUAGACGGGUAUACUUCAGAAUUCUUCAAAGCGGCUUAGGAUGUUAUCGGUACUGAGUUCACCACCGCAGUUCAGUCGUUUUUCAUAAAAGGUUUUUUCCCAAAAGGAGUGAACACAAUCAUCCUGGCACUCAUACCAAAGAAGUUGGAGGCUCGGCACAUGAAAGAUUAUAGACUGAUCUCCUGCUGCAAUGUUAUCUAUAAAGUCAUUUCGAAGAUUAUUGCUAAUCGGCUGAAAGUAACUUUACCAGAUUUCAUUAGCCUCAACCAGUAUGCUUUUGUUAAGGAUCGAUUGCUCAUUGAAAAUCUCCUUCUUGCAACAGAGCUGGUUAAAGAUUAUCACAAAGAUUCAGUCUUUAAGAGAUGUGCGAUCAAGAUUGAUAUCUCGAAAGCUUUCGACUCUGGUGCAAUGGUCCUUUCUCCUUAACACACUUGGGGCUAUGAGCUUUCCUCCGAAAUUUAUUCACUGGAUCUCGCUGUGCAUAACUACUGCAUCUUUCUGAGUUCAGGUGAAUGGAGAACUUGCAGGUUUUUUCAAAAGUGAUAGAGGAUUACGUCAAGGCUGUGCUCUCUCGCCAUACCUUUUCGUCAUCAGUAUGAAUGUUCUUUCCCAACUCCUGGAUAAAUCAGCUAAGGAACGUAAGAUUGGGUACCAUCCAAAGUGCAAGAAUCUUAGAUUAACCCAUCUACGCUUUCCUGAUGAUAUUUUGGUUUUCACUGAUGGGAAUGUUCGGUGCACAGAUAGUAUUGUUGAAGUCUUUGAUAGCUUUGCCAGGAUGUCAGGCCUGCGCAUUAGCAUGGAGAAAUCAACUAUAUACUAUUAGGGAGUUCAGGACUCAACACACCAGGUAGUUCAAGCGCAGUAUCAGUUUGAAUCAGGUCAACUUCCGGUCCGUUAUCUCGGGCUUCCACUCCUCACCAAAAGAAUGGGAACUCAAGACUAUCAUCCUCUACUUGAACAGAUCAGGAAACACAUCAAUCUAUGGACAAAUCUUUUCUUGUCAAUGGCUGGUCGGCUUCAACUAAUAUGCUAUGUUCUUAUGAGUAUAAUAAACUUUUGGAUGUCCUCUUUUCGAUAACAAGGCGAAUGUCUCAGAGAAAUAGAUAGCCUCUGUUCAGCUUUUCUGUGGUCCGGCCCUGCAUUGAAUCCUAGGAAGGCUAAAAUAUCGUGGGGUAUUAUAGUCUGUCGGCCAAAGAAAGAAGGAGGGUUGGGACUAAAACCACUUAAAGAAGCAAACAUGGUGAGCUGCCUCAAAUUGGUGUGGCGAUUAACAUCACUGAAACCGUCUCUAUGGGUUAAGUGGGUUCAUUUAAACUUGAUCCAAGAUGGGAACUUCUGGACUGUUAUAGUACCACAUCUUUGGGGUCUUGGAUGUGGCGCAAACUGCUAAAGUAUAGAGACAAAGCGAAAAAAUUCACCGCAUGGAGAU
rnacentral:lncRNA from 1 species